GACGAACGCUGGCGGCGUGCCUAACACAUGCAAGUCGAGCGGGGUUGAAGCGAGGGGUAACUCGAGUUUCUACCUAGCGGCGGACGGGUGAGUAACGCGUGGGCAACCUGCCUCAAGGACUGGGAUAACAGCUCGAAAGGGCUGCUAAUACCGGAUAAGCCCAUGGCCUCGCAUGGGGCCAUGAGCAAAGGGGAAACCCGCCUUGAGAUGGGCCCGCGUCCCAUCAGCUAGUUGGUGAGGUGAAGGCUCACCAAGGCGACGACGGGUAGCCGGCCUGAGAGGGUGACCGGCCACACUGGGACUGAGACACGGCCCAGACUCCUACGGGGGGCAGCAGUGGGGAAUCUUGCACAAUGGGCGAAAGCCUGAUGCAGCGACGCCGCGUGAGCGAAGAAGGCCUUCGGUUGUAAAGCUCUGUCUGGAGGGACGAAGGAAGUGACGGUACCUCCGGAGGAAGCCACGGCUAACUACGUAGCCAGCAGCCGCGGUAAACGUAGACGUG
rnacentral:rRNA from 1 species